rnacentral:SRP_RNA from 1 species
GCUGGGCGCAGUGGUGUGUGCCUGUAGUCCUAGCUACUCAGGAGGCUGAGGGAGGAGGGUCGCUUGAGCCCAGGUGUUUGAGGCUGCAGUGAGUCAUGAUUGUGCCACUGCACUCCAGCCUGGGUGACAGAGUGAGACCUUAUCUCUA